ACCCGCUGAACUUAAGCAUAUCAAUAAGCGGAGGAGAAA
rnacentral:rRNA from 1 species